AAUGAACGCUGGCGGCAGGCCUAACACAUGCAAGUCGAGCGAAGUCUUCGGACUUAGCGGCGGACGGGUGAGUAACGCGUGGGAACAUGCCCUUUGCUGCGGAAUAGCCCCGGGAAACUGGGAGUAAUACCGAAUGUGCCCUUCGGGGGAAAGAUUUAUCGCCAAAGGAUCGGCCCGCGUUGGAUUAGGUAGUUGGUGGGGUAAUGGCCUACCAAGCCGACGAUCCAUAGCUGGUUUGAGAGGAUGAUCAGCCACACUGGGACUGAGACACGGCCCAGACUCCUACGGGAGGCAGCAGUGGGGAAUCUUAGACAAUGGGCGCAAGCCUGAUCUAGCCAUGCCGCGUGAUCGAUGAAGGCCUUAGGGUUGUAAAGAUCUUUCAGUGGGGAAGAUAAUGACGGUACCCACAGAAGAAGCCCCGGCUAACUCCGUGCCAGCCGCCGCCGUAAA
rnacentral:rRNA from 1 species